rnacentral:tRNA from 1 species
GCCUUCGUAGUGUAACGGUAGCACACUCGGCUCGCAUUCGAGAGGUCCAGGUUCGAGACCCGGCGAGGGCG